rnacentral:rRNA from 1 species
GACGAACGCUGGCGGCGUGCUUAACACAUGCAGGUCGAACGGAAAGGCCCUGCUUUUGUGGGGUGCUCGAGUGGCGAACGGGUGAGUAACACGUGAGUAACCUGCCCUCGACUUUGGGAUAACUUCAGGAAACUGGGGCUAAUACCGGAUAGGAGCUCCUGCUGCAUGGUGGGGGUUGGAAAGUUUCGGCGGUUGGGGAUGGACUCGCGGCUUAUCAGCUUGUUGGUGUGGUAGUGGCUUACCAAGGCUUUGACGGGUAGCCGGCCUGAGAGGGUGACCGGCCACAUUGGGACUGAGAUACGGCCCAGACUCCUACGGGAGGCAGCAGUGGGGAAUAUUGCACAAUGGACGGAAGCCUGAUGCAGCAACGCCGCGUGCGGGAUGACGGCCUUCGGGUUGUAAACCGCUUUCGCCUGUAACGAAGCGUGAGUGACGGUAAUGGGUAAAGAAGCACCGGCUAACUACGUG